rnacentral:rRNA from 1 species
UACGUAGGGUGCGAGCGUUGUCCGGAAUUACUGGGCGUAAAGAGCUCGUAGGUGGUUUGUCGCGUUGUUCGUGAAAUCUCAUGGCUUAACUGUGAGCGUGCGGGCGAUACGGGCAGACUAGAGUACUGCAGGGGAGACUGGAAUUCCUGGUGUAGCGGUGGAAUGCGCAGAUAUCAGGAGGAACACCGGUGGCGAAGGCGGGUCUCUGGGCAGUAACUGACGCUGAGGAGCGAAAGCGUGGGGAGCGAACAGG